GUAACGAUGGUGCUUGCACCAGGCGACGACCGGCGGACGGGUGAGUAACACGUAUGCAAUUUGCCUUUAACUGGAGGAUAGCUUCGGGAAACCGUAAUUAAUACUCCAUAGUAUUCAAAAGACGCAUGUUUUUUGAAUUAAAGCUCCGGCGGUUAAAGAUAAGCAUGCGGGACAUUAGCUAGUUGGUAAGGUAACGGCUUACCAAGGCGACGAUGUCUAGGGGGUUUGAGAGGAUGAUCCCCCACACUGGUACUGAGACACGGACCAGACUCCUACGGGAGGCAGCAGUGAGGAAUAUUGGGCAAUGGGCGCAAGCCUGACCCAGCCAUGCCGCGUGCAGGAUGAAGGUCCUAUGGAUCGUAAACUGCUUUUGUAUGGGAAGAACUUCCCGCAUUCGUGCGGGAUUGACGGUACUAUACGAAUAAGGACCGGCUAACUCCGUGCCAGCAGCCGCGGUAAUACGGAGGGUCCAAGCGUUAUCCGGAUUCACUGGGUUUAAAGGGUGCGUAGGUGGAACGAUAAGUCGAUGGUGAAAGCCUACAGCUUAACUGUAGAAUUGCCAUUGAUACUGUUGUUCUUGAGUAUAGUCGGGGGAAGUGGAAUGCGUAAUGUAGCGGUGAAAUGCAUAGAUAUUACGCAGAACACCGAUCGCGAAAGCAGCUUCCUAGGCUAUUACUGACACUGAGGCACGAAAGCGUGGGGAGCGAACAGGAUUAGAUACCCUGGUAGUCCACGCCGUAAACGAUGCUCACUCGCUGUUGGCGAUAUAUUGUCAGCAGUUAAGCUAAAGCAUUAAGUGAGCCACCUGGGAAGUACGUCCGCAAGGAUGAAACUCAAAGGAAUUGACGGGGGCCCGCAACAACCAGGUGGAACAUGUGGUUCAAUUCGAUGAUACGCGAGGAACCUUAC
rnacentral:rRNA from 1 species